rnacentral:lncRNA from 1 species
GCUCUCUUCAUCAGGUCUUUGCUGUUUUCACCCCAGGUUAGAAUGCAAUAAUUUAUAGGCUCUGGGCAUGCAUUCACACAACCUUUGUGCACGCCAUAAACAAAGGGGGGGAGGAAGUGUCAUAUUGCACUCCGGUUCCGGUGGUCGUCUGUGCUUUAAAAACAUGGUGCGUGAAUCAAUCAAUCGCACGAUAUAGCUCGACUCUGCUGCUGCUCAGAGGGCGGGGCACGCGAUUCCAAGGAGAACCCUAGAUCGCCGCCGCUAUAACCACUAGGAGGCAACCUCUCCCCUUUCUUGCGACCGAAGCGCGGGUGGGGAGGGUGUGUGGAGAGAGAAUCACCCUGCUCUUGAAUGCUCAGAUGGCAGCAUUCAAAGGGGGGCGGGCGAGAGGCGAGAGCGAGCGAGCGAGCGGGGAAUACUGGAAACACGAAGGUGGUGUCAAGAUUCCGCCCGAGGGAGCGCGGCAUUCCGACGCGACGGUCCUGCCGGAUUCCUGGCGAGGACCCAGCCGUGCGUCUCGCGGAGCGCAGGGCGUGAGCGCAAAGAGGCGCUCCCUUCUUUUGGAUGGCGGGCGGGCGGGCGGCUCCCCUUUGCAAAUGUGCCCGGCGGAAUUGCACCAUCGGAGCGGGCUCCCUGCAGGGGGUGGGGACCCGAGGGCGCUUCCUUAAACAGGCACCAGAAGGAGCGGGCGGAGGCAGGCCAGGCACGCCGCGAUCCUCCUUCCUCCUGGGCGGCUGCAGUCGCUGCUGCUGCUGCUGGAUUUGCUGCUGUCGCUGCUGCCGUCGCCCAGCCCUGCCCAGCCCAGCUGCAGCUCGGGCUUCUCUGCAUGUGUCAUCGAACACGUGGGGCUCUUUUUGCGCCGCGGAAACUUUCGAGGGAUACUUGCUUCCAACUUGGACUCGCGCACGGCGACAUCGGAAUGGGGAGGCGCGGGAGAGAGAGAGAGAGAGCUCUUAGAUCUACUGCACCGAUCCAGACGCCUCUUUCCUGGACGUGAUCGCCUCGCUGCCUUCCCUUUCUGCUGGCGCUUGGAAUUGCGCUCCCGCGUCGUGAAACCACGUCUGGACACGCCAACCCGCUUCUUCCUCCCUUGCCCUCUUCUUCACGUGUGGGAAAUGUGGCAUGCGUGUCUUUGGAAGGAAUGGGCUCUGGGUGUUGGGGUUUUGCUGCUGUUUUUUUUUUAGCCUAAGUGGCGAACCUCGCCCUCCCUGCACCUCCCUCCCUUAGUUCCUUCCUGGGUCCGCUUCAUAGUUUCGAGAAGAUCUGGAAGGCCAUGCUAUUGACGGCCAGGAGACCCACUUGGUUUGCUUCCAGCACCCCCGGACCAAAGGUAAGCGGCGAGGGCUGGGGUGGAGGGACAAGAGAGCAACUCCGCCCGCGUGUUUUGCGUGCGCGUGUCAACUUUUCAGCUGCGUGCGCUUCGAGACUAGGCGGUCGCUGUCACCGUUUCCUCGCAGCAGACGGCGAUUGGGGAGACCGGGUCCCUUGCGAAGGGUUGAGCAAUCAAGCUUGCGCACGUUCCGACGACCGGGACGUGAGGAGCCGCGAAUGCCCAGGGCGUGCUCGGCGAACCCGCCGCGGACGCGGGUCCUCCUUUCAGAAUGAAAAGGACACCAACACACGCCCCUCUCGGACUCUGUCGCAAGAGUGCUCUGCUUUGGAGAGCAGCCCGUGCCAAGUCAAUUUCGCCCCGAACGCGUUUCCUAAACAGGGAGGUAGCUAGUUAAAAAUUAACACGCGUUUGAAACAAACCGAAACGAAAACAGAGUUGACCCCCAUAACAUCAGUGAGUUGCGCGCGGCUGGAGUUUGACUCAAGUUCUCCAGAAAUAUCUGGAGUUGGGUCUAUUUGUUUUUCUGGCUUGACUAUCUUUCAAUCAUUAAAAAAAAAAAAAGAACAAAAAUGUCCCAAGCCCUCCUGAAGGUGCGUCACGUGUGAACGAUCGAGCGGCGGGUGAAAUGGGGAGUUUGGGGCUGGGUCUUUGCGGGCGAGAUGAGAAGUUUCUGCCUUCAACUGGCCUACAAAGUCCCAUUUCUCGGCUCCCAAGUCUGCGCUCUUGUCUGCUGCCAACCUGAGGUCCUCUACCCUCAGCGGCUGAAACCUUUAAACGUGGGGAGGUUCCUAAUAUUACAGGCCGGGGUGAGGGGGGGGGGAGAGAUCUACUGCCUCUUUGCAGAUGCAGAUCCCCAAACGAGAUCUCCCCUUGCUUCCCCUCCAAAGCUGGCAAUGGCUUGGCGGGUGUUUCUUCUCCAACCACGCUAACACAGUUUGGGGCAGGGCAUAUUGAUCAAGGACACGAUCCAGUCACCGUGGAGCACUUUUAAGAGCACUUUGGUUUGAGUGAGAAAACUAAGCUGUCUGAUGCCCAGUGGGUUUCCACUGCGCUUCGUUUUGACUCUAGUUUUAGCAAAUGGCCGCAGUUGUAGUGACCGGUUCCAAACCGACACUGAAAUCAGAGAAAGUAUAAGAACAGAUGCCAACAUUUCAGAGGUUACACUUAAAAGGUUUUAAAAAAUAUAUUAAAUUAAACUUGGUCAGAGACCAGACUUGCUUCUUGCCCUGUAAUUUGCUAUUUAAAAUAUUAAGUACAGUACCAACAGAGUGUCGCUGUCAAUUGAAAGUUCGACGUUGUUUUCCGCUGAAACUGAUUUCGCAGGCCCACGCGGAAAGAUAUUUAUGUCUCCUCAAUCUGCAAGUCAUGCUAAUCAAAUCUGGUUUAAGGCCUUCAUCUCUUUACCUAUGCUUUUUUACUCUCUCUUUUAAAGAAACUCUUCUCCAUAUAUAUAUGUAUAUAUAUAUAUAUGAAAAUAGAGAUUAAUUACUGCACAUGUUGCCUCCAUAUAGUUCUUUUGGCUAAAAGCACAAAUCAGCUGAUGAUCUGCACUUUUACGCCCAGAAAAAUUAGGCCAUCGUAACUUUAUAUACUGCCUGCGACAAUGAAUAUCUUUUUGCUUACAUACAUAUAACGUAAGUAUUUUUAAAACGAAAAACCUAAAAUAGUUAAAUUGCUUAUUUUAAAGAUCGUCUUUUUUUUAAGGUUGUCUUUUAUCAUUUCUAUUAAGAACAUAAAGACGACUUUUUAAAAAUAUGUGGCCUGUAUUCAUAAUGAUGGUGGCUGUUUCAUUUAUGUAUGUUUGUGUAUGUGGUGCAAUUUGGAAAAUCUUUUCGCUGAAAUGAAGUUACAGGCAACACUUCAUUGCUAGGGAGCAAAGGGAAAAGCUGAGUCCAUGUGUGUUACGCAGAAGUAAGCCUCUCUGAGUUCAGUAGGGAAUAAGUAAUUGUGCGUACGACAGUAGCAUUUAAAAGUCUCUCUGAAUUUUAACUCUGAAGCAAAAGCUCUAAAUCAUCACAAUUAAUUAUUCUUACCAUAACUAAUGUGGUCAUUAUGGUAUACUUCUCCAAAGUCCCAUGACAUGUAACUUACGUUAUAGCUUGCUCUUUUCUACAUAAACAGGUAGAUAGAUUGAUAAAUAAAUAAAUUUCCUCAGCCUGGGAGUAUUCCCUCACCCCACCCUCCUCUUCAGUUAAAUAUUUCAAAUUCCUGCAGAUUUAUUCUAAAACAAUCUUGAUGAUUUUUCAUUUUCUCCUAUAUCUUUAUGAGCAAUGGGAAAAAAUCCUGGCCCAAUUCCCCCAGAUCUGAACUCGCAUGUUCAGAUUACGCAACCGAUGAAAUUUGUAGCCAGCCUUUGCUAAUUAGAUUUAAUCUGGUGCGUUAUGAAUUCACCCACACCCCAAUUCAUGAAUAAAACAAAAUUAAUGUUUCCCCAGCUUUUUCAAAACUAGUCCUCCUGUUAGGCCUUUGCUUACCGUGUGUGUGCAGCUGUUAAUCUAUUGUAGUCCCACAUAUCUUUGGGUAAAUAUAUAUUUUUUCAACUCCUACGCAGUUCAAGAGAGCCAUUUAUUGUUGUUAUUAUUAUUAUUUGCUAGGAAACGGUUUAUAAAUGUAAAUAAUAAAUAAUAUGAACAAGUUAGUUUGCAAAGGCUUUUAAAAACCCGUUGGGAACUUGGGAUCUGAUAUUAAGAGUGUCCCAUCCUCUGCUCCCCACCAUAAGGCAGAGUUCGAGCCAAAGAGCCAUAAACCUACAGAACGUCCUCUUUAAUUAAGAGACCACCAAUGUGACCUUAAGUGGACACGUUUGGAAGACUAGGCCAUUGAAAUCACAGCAAUUUAUUUCCAAGUGACACUUCGCCUUUAGGAUCAAGGUGCCAGUUUUUGAUCCACAGGCUGGAAUUUAACGUUCUUGUAACGAAAUUAUGCCAAACGAUUCAAAAGCUCUAGGUUCAGGUAGGCAGCCAUUGUUGGUCUGACACAGUC